GAAUACGAUCAUAAUAACAUUAAUGUACCAGAUCUCAUCAAAACUCCGCUUUUAAACAUAUAUAUUCGGAAAAGAGUAGUACUAAGAUGGAUGACCUAAAAAAAGGUGGAUGCCCUCAAGAAGUUCUCAUAUUGCAUUCC